GACGAACGCUGGCGGCGUGCUUAACACAUGCAAGUCGAACGAUGAAGCCGCUUCGGUGGUGGAUUAGUGGCGAACGGGUGAGUAACACGUGGGCAAUCUGCCCUUCACUCUGGGACAAGCCCUGGAAACGGGGUCUAAUACCGGAUAACACUCUGUCCCGCAUGGGACGGGGUUAAAAGCUCCGGCGGUGAAGGAUGAGCCCGCGGCCUAUCAGCUUGUUGGUGGGGUAAUGGCCUACCAAGGCGACGACGGGUAGCCGGCCUGAGAGGGCGACCGGCCACACUGGGACUGAGACACGGCCCAGACUCCUACGGGAGGCAGCAGUGGGGAAUAUUGCACAAUGGGCGAAAGCCUGAUGCAGCGACGCCGCGUGAGGGAUGACGGCCUUCGGGUUGUAAACCUCUUUCAGCAGGGAAGAAGCGAAAGUG
rnacentral:rRNA from 1 species